rfam:Dipodomys ordii ctg_broad_rename0000890, whole genome shotgun sequence.
GGCACUGUGGCUCAAGCGGUAGAGCGCUCGACUUGAGCUCAAGAGCUGAGGGACAGUGCCC